CAACCAGGAGAAAAGUGGAAGGCAUGCUAAGGUACCACGGGAGUGCCAACUUUCACCCAGUGGCCCCACUUAUUAGAUAAAGAAGGACAGAGAGUUGAAAGAUUGCUUAAUGCAGGGUGGCAGGGGCUGAAGCAUUGCUGGGUCCUAAAGAACAAAGGAGGAGGAGUUUCUGUCCGAGCUUGUUUGUGCAGGGCCAAUUAAAUCAAGCAUAUUCCUCAGUAUCAUGGAGAGACUGGAGGUUAGAGACACCAAAACCAUCCCUGGCUUAAUGACUUUGGGAUCCCUGGGCCCCUCCAUGCAGCAGA
rnacentral:lncRNA from 1 species